ensembl:lncRNA
AAACCCCUUUGUGAUAUCACAGUGCUAGUCAAUGCAUUGCAUAUUAUUCUUAACAUCUGCUACUUCUGUUUUUCCCUCCUGUCCCCACCAUCUUUCUCACCUUUCCUUCAUCCUGGUUUAACUCCUUUCCCUUUAUUUCCCUUGGACUUUAUACCCAGUGCUGAACUGACUGUAUUUACUUUCCCAACUGAGAUCCCACUAUACUUUGAUCCUUCUCACCUAAAGUUCUCAUCUGUGGUGAGAAAUAACAACACACUUCCAAGAAAGCUUUGGCAUUUUACUGUAUUGUCCUGGCUAGGUUCUCAUCCACUAUAAAUUUCUCUUAAAAUUAAAGCUAACUGGAAACUUCCAGGCAGACAUGCCACUGCCCCAAGCACCAAGGAGCAGAGUUGCCCCCAGCACACAGGAGGUUAACCUUCUGGGCCACUGUGCUACCACCCCCAGUGCGGAGGAGGUGAGCCGAACAGACACCAGCAGCACCCUCCCUCCCCAAUGAAAUGAGAAGACACGUAAAGAAGUCUCAGAAACAGACUUCCAGAUCACCUAAAGCAAUCCCAAAGGGAAACAAGAUGGAACAAUCUGGUACUCAACCACCUGGACUCCCUGAACUGCCAAAGAAAGAGGAUUUGGAAAAAAUGAACUCAGAAAUAAUUUCUAUGAUAUCAGCAGAGAUUGUGUCCAUAGUGCAAGACAUGAUUAAUAAAUCUAGAGAGGACAGAGAAAAAAAAAAUACAGGAGCUGAGGAACAUGAUGGAAUCCCAACAUAGGAAACAAAUGGAAUCCAUUAAACACAUGCAAAUAGAUUCCUAGGAGAUUAAAAAUUCCAUGGAAAGUUUGUGCAGCAGAAUAAGCCAAUGUGAGCACAGAAUUUCAGAUAUACAAGAUAAGAUUGCAAUUACUGACCAGAAAAAGAAAAAUUGCUUUAAAAUUGUAAGGGAACAUGAGAAAUCAAUCCAGCAGCUACUAGACGAUGCAAAGAAGAACAACAUAAGACUGAUCAGAGUCAAUGAAGAAACAAGAGAGUGCAGAUGACAUAAAAAAAAAAAAACUGUUCACAGAAGUGAUGGCAGAAAACUUCCCAAGCAGGGGAAAAGAACUUGACAUACAGAUAAGUGAGGCAUAUAGGACUCGAAAUAGCCUUGAUCAAAAAAAAAAUUUACACGAUGCCCUACCGAAGUCCUGAGUCACACAGAACACGCCGAAUCAGCCUGCUGCAGACAGGCAGGUCUGUGCAUGCCCUACUGAGGUCCUGAGUCACGCGGAAGAUGCUGAAUCACCCCGCUGCAGACAAGCAGGUCUGCCUAUGUCCUACCAAGGUCCUGAGUCGCACAGAACACGCCGAAUCAGCCCACUGCAGACAGGCAAGUCUGUACACGCCCUACCGAGGUCGUGAGUUAUGCAGAAGAUGCAGAAUCACCCCGCUGCAGACAGGCAGGUCUGUGCACACCCUACCGAGGUCCUGAGUCACGCGGAAGACACCUAAUCACCCUGCUGCAGACAGGAAGCCACCUGAUUCCACACUACAAAGACACAGAGGACACCAGACCACCAGACCAAGACUUGCAGAUCACCUACAGCAACCCCAAAGGGAAAUGAGAUGGAACACUCUGAUACUCAACCACCUGGACCCACUGAACUGCCAACAAAAGGGGAUCUGGAAAAAAUGAAAUCAGAAAUAAUUUCUCAGAUAACAGGAGAAAUUGUACCCCUAGUGCAAGACAUGAUUAAUAAAUCUAGAGAGGAGCUGAGGAACAUGAUGGAAUCCCAACAUAAGAAACAAAUGGAAUCCAUAAAACAGAUGCAAAUAGAUUUCCAGGACAUGAAAAACUCCAUUGAAAGUCUACACAGCAGAAUGAGCCAAUGUGAGGACAGAAUUUCAGAUAUACAAGAUAGGAUUGCAAUUAGUGACCAGGAAAAGAAAAAUUGCUUCAAAAUUAUAAGGGAACAUGAGAAAUCAAUCCAGCAGCUGCUAGAUGAUGCAAAGAAGAAUAACAUAAGACUGAUUGGGAUCAAUGAAGAAACAGGA